CACGUAGGGUGCGAGCGUUGUCCGGAAUUAUUGGGCGUAAAGAGCUCGUAGGCGGUCUGUCGCGUCGGCUGUGAAAACUCGGGGCUCAACCCCGAGCCUGCAGUCGAUACGGGCAGACUAGAGUGCUGUAGGGGAGACUGGAAUUCCUGGUGUAGCAGUGAAAUGCGUAGAUAUCAGGAGGAACACCGAUGGCGAAGGCAGGUCUCUGGGCUGACACUGACGCUCAUGCACGAAAGCGUGGGGAGCAAACAGG
rnacentral:rRNA from 1 species